UGUCAGCGUAUACCAAAGUUGUUGCAGUUAAAACGCUCGUAGUCGGAAUUUGGCAGUUCCGGAUGUGUGCACGUCGUGUGCGCACUUCGCGGGGAUUGCUUUUGUGGUCUUGCGUAGGAUGAGGCACUUUUAUUAGUGAACGUCCUCACGCAACCACUUUUUACUGUGAGAAAAUCAGAGUGCUCAAAGCAGGCAUUUGCCGUGAAUGUAUUAGCAUGGAAUAAUAGAAUAGGACUUGGUUCUAUUUUGUUGGUUUGUUGGGACUGAGUAAUGAUUAAGAGGGACAGUUGGGGGCAUUUGUAUUUCGGUGCUAGAGGUGAAAUUCUUAGAUUACCGAAAGACAAACUGCUGCGAAAGCGUCUGCCAAGGAUGUUUUCAUUGA
rnacentral:rRNA from 1 species